CCUACGGGAGGCAGCAGUGGGGAAUAUUGGGCAAUGGGCGCAAGCCUGACCCAGCAACGCCGCGUGAGGGAAGAAGGCUUUCGGGUUGUAAACUUCUUUUCUCAGGGACGAAGAAAGUGACGGUACCUGAGGAAUAAGCCACGGCUAACUACGUGCCAGCAGCCGCGGUAAUACGUAGGGGGCAAGCGUUAUCCGGAUUUAUUGGGUGUAAAGGGUGAGUAGGCGGGACUGUAAGUCAGAUGUGAAAACCCCGGGCUCAAACUGUGGCCUGCAUUUGAAACUGUAGUUCUUGAGUACUGGAGAGGCAGACGGAAUUCCUAGUGUAGCGGUGAAAUGCGUAGAUAUUAGGAGGAACACCAGUGGCGAAGGCGGUCUGCUGGACAGCAACUGACGCUGAGGCGCGAAAGCGUGGGGAGCAAACAGGAUUAGAUACCCUAGUAGUC
rnacentral:rRNA from 1 species